rnacentral:rRNA from 1 species
GACGAACGCUGGCGGCGUGCUUAACACAUGCCAGUCGAACGGAAAGCCCCUGCUUUUGUGGGGUGCUCGAGUGGCGAACGGGUGAGUAACACGUGAGUAACCUGCCCUUGACUUUGGGAUAACUUCAGGAAACUGGGGCUAAUACCAGAUAGGAGCUCCUGCUGCAUGGUGGGGGUUGGAAAGUUUCGGCGGUUGGGGAUGGACUCGCGGCUUAUCAGCUUGUUGGUGGGGUAGUGGCUUACCAAGGCUUUGACGGGUAGCCGGCCUGAGAGGGUGACCGGCCACAUUGGGACUGAGAUACGGCCCAGACUCCUACGGGAGGCAGCAGUGGGGAAUAUUGCACAAUGGGCGGAAGCCUGAUGCAGCAACGCCGCGUGCGGGAUGACGGCCUUCGGGUUGUAAACCGCUUUCGCCUGUGACGAAGCGUGAGUGACGGUAAUGGGUAAAGAAGCACCGGCUAACUACGUG